CCAGAGAUGAAGCCCAUCCGGACCCAUGGACUUGUAUGGAUCCAGGUGGAGCAGCAAAUCCCGCACACGUUCAGGGUUGGCUGCGAGUCUGUCAUUCCCACUGUCACAGUCCUCCAGCACAGGGCACCCUGGGUCCCAAAGCCCAUCAUCAGCCUUGAAGACAGAGGCGAAGAAGGCAUUAAAUGUCUCUGCUUUGCCUAUGUCCUAGUCUGUGAGGAGACCUUCCCC